rnacentral:lncRNA from 1 species
UGACAGGUGUCAGCCAGUGACUCUGUUUUCAUUUUGUCCUUAGUGUCAAAUCAACAGUGCCUUGACUUCCUUCCACACUGCUUUGGAACUUGCAGUCGAUCAGAGAGAAAUCCAGCAUGUCUGUCUCUAUGAAAUCGGAGUUGAGAAGAUGAUGACAAAGAGUGGUUGGCAAAGUUUCCUUAAGGAGGUGGAACUGAAGCUGCUGAAAUUUACAUUUCUUCGGGGUACAAGCUUAUGUGUUUCUUCACAUUCUUGCUGGUGGCUUGUCAGUGGUAGGUGUCCAAUGAACCUGUGUAAGACUAAUUCAUGACUUUCUUUCCAGGCACAGAAAUGUCCCCCUUCUGUAGUGAAGCUGUCAUGAUCCUCUUGCCUCCUCAUUGUUCUUUCCUAGAUUUCUCUUUGUUCCACUUUCUGGGUAUGUGGGCUCCCACUAGGUUAUACACUGUGACAGCAGCUGGGGAUUUUGUUGUGUACAAGACCAUCUCCCCAACAAAAAGACUGGGGCCAUGGCUUUCCCAUCUGUCCCAGCAAAGCUCUGAGAGCCCAGCACCUAGGAAACAGUUGUUGAAUAAAUGGAACAAUG